rnacentral:rRNA from 1 species
UUAAGGGCGCACGGUGGAUGCCUUGGCACUAGAAGCCGAUGAAGGACGUUACUAACGACGAUAUGCUUUGGGGAGCUGUAAGUAAGCUUUGAUCCAGAGAUUUCCGAAUGGGGAAACCCAGCAUGAGUUAUGUCAUGUUAUCGAUAUGUGAAUACAUAGCAUAUCAGAAGGCACACCCGGAGAACUGAAACAUCUUAGUACCCGGAGGAAGAGAAAGAAAAUUCGAUUCCCUUAGUAGCGGCGAGCGAAACGGGAAGAGCCCAAACCAACAAGCUUGCUUGUUGGGGUUGUAGGACACUCUAUACGGAGUUACAAAGGACGACAUUAGACGAAUCAUCUGGAAAGAUGAAUCAAAGAAGGUAAUAAUCCUGUAGUCGAAAACGUUGUCUCUCUUGAGUGGAUCCUGAGUACGACGGAGCACGUGAAAUUCCGUCGGAAUCUGGGAGGACCAUCUCCUAAGGCUAAAUACUCUCUAGUGACCGAUAGUGAACCAGUACCGUGAGGGAAAGGUGAAAAGCACCCCGGAAGGGGAGUGAAAUAGAACCUGAAACCGUGUGCUUACAAGUAGUCAGAGCCCGUUAAUGGGUGAUGGCGUGCCUUUUGUAGAAUGAACCGGCGAGUUACGAUUUGAUGCAAGGUUAAGCAGUAAAUGUGGAGCCGUAGCGAAAGCGAGUCUGAAUAGGGCGUUUAGUAUUUGGUCGUAGACCCGAAACCAGGUGAUCUACCCUUGGUCAGGUUGAAGUUCAGGUAACACUGAAUGGAGGACCGAACCGACUUACGUUGAAAAGUGAGCGGAUGAACUGAGGGUAGCGGAGAAAUUCCAAUCGAACCUGGAGAUAGCUGGUUCUCUCCGAAAUAGCUUUAGGGCUAGCCUCAAGUGAUGAUUAUUGGAGGUAGAGCACUGUUUGGACGAGGGGCCCCUCUCGGGUUACCGAAUUCAGACAAACUCCGAAUGCCAAUUAAUUUAACUUGGGAGUCAGAACAUGGGUGAUAAGGUCCGUGUUCGAAAGGGAAACAGCCCAGACCACCAGCUAAGGUCCCAAAAUAUAUGUUAAGUGGAAAAGGAUGUGGCGUUGCCCAGACAACUAGGAUGUUGGCUUAGAAGCAGCCAUCAUUUAAAGAGUGCGUAAUAGCUCACUAGUCGAGUGACACUGCGCCGAAAAUGUACCGGGGCUAAACAUAUUACCGAAGCUGUGGAUUGUCCUUUGGACAAUGGUAGGAGAGCGUUCUAAGGGCGUUGAAGCAUGAUCGUAAGGACAUGUGGAGCGCUUAGAAGUGAGAAUGCCGGUGUGAGUAGCGAAAGACGGGUGAGAAUCCCGUCCACCGAUUGACUAAGGUUUCCAGAGGAAGGCUCGUCCGCUCUGGGUUAGUCGGGUCCUAAGCUGAGGCCGACAGGCGUAGGCGAUGGAUAACAGGUUGAUAUUCCUGUACCACCUAUAAUCGUUUUAAUCGAUGGGGGGACGCAGUAGGAUAGGCGAAGCGUGCGAUUGGAUUGCACGUCUAAGCAGUAAGGCUGAGUAUUAGGCAAAUCCGGUACUCGUUAAGGCUGAGCUGUGAUGGGGAGAAGACAUUGUGUCUUCGAGUCGUUGAUUUCACACUGCCGAGAAAAGCCUCUAGAUAGAAAAUAGGUGCCCGUACCGCAAACCGACACAGGUAGUCAAGAUGAGAAUUCUAAGGUGAGCGAGCGAACUCUCGUUAAGGAACUCGGCAAAAUGACCCCGUAACUUCGGGAGAAGGGGUGCUCUUUAGGGUUAACGCCCAGAAGAGCCGCAGUGAAUAGGCCCAAGCGACUGUUUAUCAAAAACACAGGUCUCUGCUAAACCGUAAGGUGAUGUAUAGGGGCUGACGCCUGCCCGGUGCUGGAAGGUUAAGAGGAGUGGUUAGCUUCUGCGAAGCUACGAAUCGAAGCCCCAGUAAACGGCGGCCGUAACUAUAACGGUCCUAAGGUAGCGAAAUUCCUUGUCGGGUAAGUUCCGACCCGCACGAAAGGCGUAACGAUUUGGGCACUGUCUCAACGAGAGACUCGGUGAAAUCAUAGUACCUGUGAAGAUGCAGGUUACCCGCGACAGGACGGAAAGACCCCGUGGAGCUUUACUGUAGCCUGAUAUUGAAAUUCGGCACAGCUUGUACAGGAUAGGUAGGAGCCUUUGAAACGUGAGCGCUAGCUUACGUGGAGGCGCUGGUGGGAUACUACCCUAGCUGUGUUGGCUUUCUAACCCGCACCACUUAUCGUGGUGGGAGACAGUGUCAGGCGGGCAGUUUGACUGGGGCGGUCGCCUCCUAAAAGGUAACGGAGGCGCUCAAAGGUUCCCUCAGAAUGGUUGGAAAUCAUUCAUAGAGUGUAAAGGCAUAAGGGAGCUUGACUGCGAGACCUACAAGUCGAGCAGGGUCGAAAGACGGACUUAGUGAUCCGGUGGUUCCGCAUGGAAGGGCCAUCGCUCAACGGAUAAAAGCUACCCCGGGGAUAACAGGCUUAUCUCCCCCAAGAGUUCACAUCGACGGGGAGGUUUGGCACCUCGAUGUCGGCUCAUCGCAUCCUGGGGCUGUAGUCGGUCCCAAGGGUUGGGCUGUUCGCCCAUUAAAGCGGUACGCGAGCUGGGUUCAGAACGUCGUGAGACAGUUCGGUCCCUAUCCGUCGUGGGCGUAGGAAAUUUGAGAGGAGCUGUCCUUAGUACGAGAGGACCGGGAUGGACAUACCUCUGGUGUACCAGUUGUCGUGCCAACGGCAUAGCUGGGUAGCUAUGUGUGGACGGGAUAAGUGCUGAAAGCAUCUAAGCAUGAAGCCCCCCUCAAGAUGAGAUUUCCCAACUUCGGUUAUAAGAUCCCUCAAAGAUGAUGAGGUUAAUAGGUUCGAGGUGGAAGCAUGGUGACAUGUGGAGCUGACGAAUACUAAUCGAUCGAAGACUUAAUC